ensembl:lncRNA
AUGGUUAAAAGUCAUUUCUUCUGGGUUAGAGUCCCCAAGUUUCAAUAUUUGGUGAACUUUGGGAAGUUCCUUAAUCUCUUUGCACUUGCUUCCUUAUUUGUAACCUUAAAAAGUACCACAAAGGUAAUAACAAAUACGUUCACAGAGAUGUUUGAAAGAUUGAAUGAGUCAAUAUUUGUACAACUCUUAGAAGAGAGCCUGGAUUUUGGCACCAACUCAUUGUGCUGCAUCUUGGGGUGGGUACAGAGGCUUAGUAACUUGGCAAUGGUAUGUGACAAUUAAUAAAUUAAACAGCCUCUUUCAUAUUCACCCAGAACCCUGUGUACUCUUAUAACUUGUCAGCUACCAUGUUUGUUGAAGAAAAAAAGCAAAUUUUCAGUGACUUGUUAAAUCUGUGCUGUAGACAAAAGUUAAGAGAGAUUAGAGGAAAAAUAAUCUCUUCAUGCCUUUCUGACUUUUAUAAACUUUAGAAACUGAGCCUGCAUUACUUAUAAUUAGAAAACAAAACAACAGAUUUUACAACUUUUAAAGACUAACUUUUGUAUACCUGGCCUGUUUCCCAUGAAAUCCCUCAAAAUAAUUGAUAACAAGGGAAGAAAUAACACAAAUUCCAAUUAUUCCUGAGCUUGUCACCAUAUUUUAUAGCCUUUAUAUUGUUUUUCAUUUUUAACGCUUAAUACAAAUAUUAUGACUCAGACCAUUAGAAUCUGCACCAAAUUCAGGAGACUUGGGUUCAGNNNNNNNNNNNNNNNNNNNNNNNNNNNNNNNNNNNNNNNACCCACUCCUGUAUUCUUGCCUGGAGAAUCCCAUGGGCAGAGGAACCUGGAAGGCUACAGUCCAUGCAGUCAAAGAGUUGGACAGACUGAACAACUUUCACUUUCAAUACAAAUGUUAAUACUCCUUUAGUGUCCCAGGUUUUUCUUUCAGAAUCAUACUGAAAAACACUAGAAUAUUUUUAAAGACAGUCGUUCAUUUUAAUAAGACUUUUCCAAUAAAUGAGGUGAAGAGUAUCAAAUUCAAACUCUUUUCUAACAGAUGAGGUGAUUGAAAGUAAGGCUACAAAAUAAAUCAAUGAUAGGUCUGAAAAGUAGCAACAAAAAGCAAACAAGCAAAACCACCCAAAUCCCAUGUAAGUGCAUCUCCUAGUAGAGUGUAACUGUGCAUUCUUUUUGAAAAAACUAAUACAGAAAUUUUUUAAAUACAAAAAAGAAAAAUUGAGAUGUGAACAUCUCCAUUAUCUUUUUUUAUCGUAAAAUUUAAAACAGAUAGAGUUUGUGUUCAGGUUAUAUUGAAAAAAACUAUUUCUAUUUCAUCUGUUUAACAAACAUUUAUAAGGCAUUUAUUUCCAGUCAACUCUCACACAUGUUAACUCACUUCUCAUAACCACUGUGAGGUGAGCAAGGAAACGUUUAACAGUGUGUAGGUUCAGUUCAGUUCAGUUCAGUUCAGUNNNNNNNNNNNNNNNNNNNNNNNNUGACCCCAUGGACUGCAGCAUACCAGGCUUCCCUGUCCAUCACCAUCUCCCAGAGUUUGCUCCAACACCACAGUUCAAAAGCAACAGUUCUUCGGUGCUCAGCUUUCUUUACAGUUCAACUCUCACGUUCAUACAUGACUACUGGAAAAAACAUAGCUUUGACUAUACAAAGCUUUGUUGACACAGUAAUGUCUCUGCUUUUUAAUAUGCUGUCUAGGUUGG